AGCCCUUGAAAAAUAUUAGAUUAUCGUGUAAAGAUUUUCUCUUUUUUAAUAUAGAUGGGUUUUAAUUGAGAAAUGAAAGGUUUGAGUUUUCUACCUGAAUAUUCAGCUGCUCGCAAAUCUCUCAUAAUACAGGAUUUUGGCAAUGCGUUGCUGAGCCACUUACGAGAUUCCAAAGCCUGUUCAUCUUCUAGAAAUCGUUCCCUAUAUGUAAUCGCUGCAACUAUCCGUUUAGAAAUGGAACCCUUCCUUUUCUACAUUCCAAAUCUCUGAAAAUUCCAUUAAUGAGUGCCUACCAAUCCUUUCCGCAUGGGCAUUGGCUGUGACGAUGUUGCACUUGUAGCUGGUAGGCAACAGGCUAGCCAUUGGAUAUGUAUCACCUGUUGGGCGUGGAAUUCGAAUUGGGGAUCUGAAACAUGGAACUCGGUGGCAUGCUUAAAUCAACCACAUGCUGCCAAUUCUCCUCCCCAAUCUGAUGGGGAGAUGGUAUGCCGAUGAAAAGGUCCCAGUCAAGUACAAGUGGAUAGGGAGGAAGUGGAAACGCUGCGGCCCAUUAAAGAGGGGACGCACAAUGCACGGUCCGAGGAGUUCGAGCACAAGGUCCAUGAGAAGGGAGCACGCAUAUGCGGUCCAAAGCGGGACGUGUGUUGCAUGGUCCGGAGUGGUGCAUGUAUUAGGUACUGAGAGGGGACAGAUUGCCAUCCAAAGUGGGGUGCACUAAGCAUGGUCCCAUGCGCUGCAAGUGCUUACGGUGUGAGCGCUAUGACGAGAGAGAUGAGAUUAAGGAGUUGUUUGGAAUUUCUCUCCAAGGAUUCCCAAGGUACAUGGAAUUUUUUUUUUUUUGGAGCCAUUCAUCCUCUUUCUCUUUCAGUAUUCGCCAAGUAAGCAUUGAGUUUUAUUGAUGAAUGAAAAUAAGGUACAAAGAUGAAUUAAGGGACAGAUUACAUUAGCAUGUUACUUGUUAGAUCGACAAUGCAAAAAUGGUAUGGUUUCAAAGCCCAAUUCAACUGAAUUGUGAUUCAUUCAAUUCAUUGUAGGGUAAAUGACCAUUUUAAUUUCAAACUGGCUAGCACCAUCUCCUAAAAUUGCUAUUCACUUUGUUUCAAGUUGAAUAUGAAAUUAUAGUAAUUUUGAUUUCAGGGAGGGUCGUUGUCAUGAAUGGGAGUGGUGUUAGCCCCACUUUGGUCAUUUUCUAUUUACUGAAUCCAGUUAUUUCAAUUCCAUUCAAUCGAACAGCAAAUGAAGAUGGAAAGUAAGUCUAGUUCGAAGAUUGGAAUUUAUUUGGAUUAGUAUUUGAGCUGUU